rnacentral:lncRNA from 1 species
CGUCAACGACAUGAACGACACAACAAAACGGGAAUGAAGGAAAUAAAGAAUCGACUCAAACGUAGUCGUUUAUUCCAAAUCAUCCUGAAUGGGGCACUAACAUUUUUACUAUUAACUUUAAAUCAAAUUCCAUUUUCCACAGCAGGAAAUGUUGAAUGCGUAGAUGUAUGAAAGGCUUGUUUUAACACGUUUUAAAGGCCAAAGUCCCAUUUUUAAAACCAACUGUGUGGAUGAAUAGAAUCUCAGCAACACAAAGCCUGUUGUUAUUAUGUAACCUGGAGUGAAUCUAGCCAAGUCUAACAGAGUCUUACAGUAGGCUGCUUGGGUCUGUUCCGGACUGGGCCAUAACAGAACAGCAGGAAUCCUCUCUAACUCUGGACCCUGUUAGCAGUAUCCACAAAGCGUCUCAGUUUAGUGUUUUAGAUUAAAAUGAUUCAGAUUGUUAGGGACAAGGAGGACCUGGACCUAGACCAGCACUACUCUUAAAGACGCUUUGUGGAGAGGUUAUCCUCCUCAGAACCAACAGUAGAACCGAGAGAGAGAGGUUAUCCUCCUCAGAACCAACAGUAGAACAGAGAGAGAGGUUAUCCUCCUCAGAACCAACAGUAGAACAGAGAGAGAGGUUAUCCUCCUCAGAACCAACAGUAGAACAGAGAGAGAGGUUAUCCUCCUCAGAACCAACAGUAGAACAGAGAGAGAGGUUAUCCUCCUCAGAACCAACAGUAGAACAGAGAGAGAGGUUAUCCUCCUCAGAACCAACAGUAGAACAGAGAGAGAGAGAGAGAGAGAGGUUAUCCUCCUCAGAACCAACAGUAGAACAGAGAGAGAGGUUAUCCUCCUCAGAACCAACUGUUAAAACUGGACGGCAGGAUUUUAUUGUGUUACAAAGAUGGAUUUGAUUGUGAUUUUAUUUUUUUAUUGUUCUACACAAAAUACUCCAUAAUGUCAAAGAAAAUACAUUUCUACAAAUGAAUAAAAACAAAUAACUAAAAUAAUCAUUGCAUAAAGUAUUCACCUCCUUUGUUGAAGCUAAAUUAGUUCAGGAGUAAAUUGAUGAGUUACCUGGACUGCAUGAAAUAGGGGAUGACAUGCCCCUUCCUUCCUUCCUUCCUUCCUUCCUUCCUUCCUUCCUUCCUAUGCACUUUCCUGUCUACGUAUUGUGACAGUUGGUGCUGUUUAAGAUCAAAGGAGGACGAUUGUUUUCAUGAGCCUGGCCUUAUUUCUAUUACAGCGUUUUGGAUGACUGUCC